rnacentral:rRNA from 1 species
CUACGGGAGGCUGCAGUGGGGAAUCUUGGACAAUGGGCGCAAGCCUGAUCCAGCCAUGCCGCGUGAGUGAAGAAGGCCUUAGGGUCGUAAAGCUCUUUCGCCAGAGAUGAUAAUGACAGUAUCUGGUAAAGAAACCCCGGCUAACUCCGUGCCAGCAGCCGCGGUAAUACGGAGGGGGUUAGCGUUGUUCGGAAUUACUGGGCGUAAAGCGCGCGUAGGCGGAUUAGUCAGUCAGAGGUGAAAUCCCAGGGCUCAACCCUGGAACUGCCUUUGAUACUGCUAGUCCUGAGUUCGAGAGAGGUGAGUGGAAUUCCGAGUGUAGAGGUGAAAUUCGUAGAUAUUCGGAGGAACACCAGUGGCGAAGGCGGCUCACUGGCUCGAUACUGACGCUGAGGUGCGAAAGUGUGGGGAGCAAACAGGAUUAGAUACCCCCGUAGUC